GGGGAGCGGGAGCAGCAGGAGGAGGAGGAGGAGCUGGAGACUGAAGGUACGAGGGGCGAGAUGAGCAGGAGGAAUGUGCCUCGGAGGUAAAGAUAAGGAAUAUGGUCUGGAAAAGAGGGUGACUGCACCUGAAGGCAUUGCUCAGAACAGGAAGGUGUAUGCUAAUGAAAGCAGCAAAGAAAACUACAGGAAGAAACACAGGCUCGGAUGAGAAGGGAAGAGUAAGUGUGAAAGUCAUCAGCGCUGAGGAGAGGAGAGAAGUCACCCAGAGGCCAGGGCAGAGGGUGGAGGGAGAAGCAGCAGCAAAGCCAGAAACCAGCAGAGUGAGUUUUCCUCGUGUUUGCAUAAGUUAGCACCUGUAUUGCUUGCAGCUGGAGCAGCCCAUGUGGGGGGUGGGAGACCUUCCUUCCCUGGGAAACAGGAGGAUUGCUGUUUUACAUAUGAACGAGGCCUGAUGACAGAAAAUUACUCCAGUUGUAUGCUAAUGGUGAAGAGUUUACGCUGCUGAUGCUAUUGGAAGUACCAUUUCCAGCAGGGAAGGACCCACAGUUUUUUAUUUCCCUGCAGGAUCUCCACUAAUCUCCAUUAUAUUAAUGCACUUGGAGUGCAUUGUUUU